rnacentral:tmRNA from 1 species
GGGGCCGAUCCGGAUUCGACGUGGGUCAUGAAACAGCUCAGGGCAUGCCGAGCACCAGUACGCUCGUAAAACCACUGGAAACAAACUAAACGCCAACGACGAGCGUUUCGCUCUCGCCGCUUAAGCGGUGAGCCGCUGCACUGAUCUGUCCUUGGGUCAGGCGGGGGAAGGCAACUUCCUAGGGGGGGCAACCCUCGAACCGCAGCAGUGUUAUUCACAAGGAAUCGGUCUGCGCUGGGGUCACACGGUUCAGGCUUAAAUUACGUGAAUCGCCUCUGUCCGGCCCGUUGAUCGGCUAAGUCAGGGGUUAAAUCCAAAUAGAUCGACUAAGCAUGUAGAACUGACUGCGGAGGGCUUGCGGACGGGGGUUCAAUUCCCCCCGGCUCCACCA